rnacentral:misc_RNA from 1 species
UAUACAGAGAAAUAAUAUAGUGAUCGACUUUUCAUAACAUCAACAAAUUAGAAGCAAAAAAAAUAAAUAAAGAAAGAAAAAGUUAAGAGUUAAAUUUCACAAUUUUUCGAAUAAAGAUCCAUAUUAAAGCUCACAACACUUGGAAGUUAGAUUGAGGAAAACCUCAAGAUCCAUUGCCAUUAGGAGAAUUCUAACUUCAUUUGCAAAUGAAUUUUCAUGUUUGGUAUGCUAAAACUUAAAUAUUUGAAUUGAAUUCCGCAAAAUCAUGUUUGGAAUAAAUGCAGAAUUGAAAUUCAUUUGCAUUUAUUUUCUAAAAUAUUAUUUGACAUAUAUUAUCAUGAAAUAAAUAAAUAAUUCAUAAUUAUAUUUGUUUUACUUAAUAAUCUUAUAUUCGUCUUUUUUUAAUUAAGAUACAUAAUAUACUCAUAUUUUAUAUGUUAUUUACCCUUAAAAUAAUAUCUAUCACUAUAUAAAUUAAAUAGUUUAAAAUAACAAAAUAAUAUUUAUCAAUGACAUCUUUUUCUUAUGACUUAUUUUCUAAGGUUAAAAAAUGCAUCAAUGCACAGUCAUAUAAAAAACAAAGGUCAGAAGAUACACAAGACAAAUGGUAUCCCUGUAACAAAACCAAUAUGCCCUUU